AGGACAUAGACAGCUAGGAGGUUGGCUUAGAACAGCCAUCCUUUAAGAAAGCGCCCUAGCUCACUAGUCGAGUCGGCCCGCGCGGAAGAUUUAACGGGGCUUAGCCAUGUACCGAAGCUGCGGAUGCGUGUUUCACGCAUGGUAGAGGAGCGUUCUGUAAGCCUGUGAAGGUGUGUUGUAAAGCAUGCUGGAGGUAUCAGAAGUGCGAAUGCUGACAUGAGUAACGAUAAAGGGGGUGAGAGGCCCCCUCGCCGAAAACCCAAGGUUUCCUGCACAACGCUAAUCGGUGCAGGGUUAGUCGGCCCCUAAGGUGAGGCAGAAAUGCGUAAUCGAUGGGAAUCAGGUUAAUAUUCCUGAACUACUUAUUACUGCGAUGGGGUGACGGAGCAGGCUAGAUCAUCCGGGUGUUGGUUUACCCGGUUUAAGCGUGUAGGGAGUCAGUUUAGGUAAAUCCGGACUGGCAAUUCUGAGACGUGAUGACGAGUCUCUUUUGAGACGAAGUGAUUGAUGCCAUACUCCCAGGAAAAACCUCUAAGCUUCAGGUAAUAAGUAACCGUACCCCAAACCGACACAGGUGGGUGGGAUGAAAAUUCUAAGGCGCUUGAUAGAACUCUGGUGAAGGAACUAGGCAAAAUUGUACCGUAACUUCGGGAGAAGGUACGCCCCUGGUAUGUGAAGAGACUUGCUCUCGGAGCAGAAGGGGGUUGCAAUAAAAUGGUGGCUGCAACUGUUUAUUAAAAACAUAGCACUCUGCAAACUCGAAAGAGGAAGUAUAGGGUGUGACGCCUGCCCGGUGCCGGAAGGUUAAUUGAUGGGGUUAGUCUUCGGACGAAGCUCUUGAUCGAAGCCCCGGUAAACGGCGGCCGUAACUAUAACGGUCCUAAGGUAGCGAAAUUCCUUGUCGGGUAAGUUCCGACCUGCACGAAUGGCGUAAUGAUGGCCACACUGUCUCCACCAGAGACUCAGUGAAAUUGAAAUCGCUGUUAAGAUGCAGCGUACCCGCGGCUAGACGGAAAGACCCCGUGAACCUUUACUACAGCUUUGCACUGGACUUUGAACCUAUUUGUGUAGGAUAGGUGGGAGGCUUUAAACCUUUACGCUAGUUUCGGCGGAGCUAACCUGAAAUACCACCCUGGUAUGUUGAAGUUCUAA
rnacentral:rRNA from 1 species